UACGUAGGGUGCAAGCGUUAAUCGGAAUUACUGGGCGUAAAGCGUGCGCAGGCGGUUUUGUAAGUCUGUCGUGAAAGCCCCGGGCUCAACCUGGGAAUUGCGAUGGAGACUGCAAGGCUUGAAUCUGGCAGAGGGGGGUAGAAUUCCACGUGUAGCAGUGAAAUGCGUAGAGAUGUGGAGGAACACCGAUGGCGAAGGCGGCCCGCUGGGCAGUGGCUGACGCUGAAGCGCGACAGCGUGGGGAGCAAACAGG
rnacentral:rRNA from 1 species